UUAGUCUAUUCAAAGGGGAAUGCAUGUUCAUAAUUACUAGUGUAAAUGAUCAAUUAAAGUGUGACGCAUCGACACAUUAGCGUUAACUAGCUGGCUGCGCAGGCUUUGUAUCAGGUACCAACGUUCAAUUUGAGUGACUGCUCCCAUAUCCACCUUUUGCAGCGUGUUAAUUCCGUGCCGCAACCUUUCCUCAUUUUGCCUGUCACAUGCCACAUUUACAGCACCCUCUUCUUCCUUAACACAAAUACCGCAGUUUAUACUAAGAUCAUGACAAGGGAUCGGACAUGGCUGCAUGUGUGCAUUUCGUGUAAAGGGAACAUUGCCGAAGCAGCGAGACUGCGGAAGCUGGUUUGGACCCAGUACUCGCUUGUGAGCGUGACUUCUCCAGCCUGCUCACCCUAAACGUCCUGCAGACCCAACUCUGAGCGCACUGGACUCAUACAGGCCUACAGGUUCACAGCACGAAGACGUUCAAGGGGGAAACAGGCUAUUAAAACAAUAUAAGAGUAA